CUACACAUGCAGUCGAGCGGUAGCACAGAGAGCUUGCUCUCGGGUGUACGAGCGGCGGACGGGUGAGUAAUGUCUGGGAAACUGCCUGAUGGAGGGGGAUAACUACUGGAAACGGUAGCUAAUACCGCAUAAUGUCGCAAGACCAAAGUGGGGGACCUUCGGGCCUCAUGCCAUCAGAUGUGCCCAGAUGGGAUUAGCUAGUAGGUGGGGUAACGGCUCACCUAGGCGACGAUCCCUAGCUGGUCUGAGAGGAUGACCAGCCACACUGGAACUGAGACACGGUCCAGACUCCUACGGGAGGCAGCAGUGGGGAAUAUUGCACAAUGGGCGCAAGCCUGAUGCAGCCAUGCCGCGUGUGUGAAGAAGGCCUUCGGGUUGUAAAGCACUUUCAGCGGGGAGGAAGGCGUUAAGGUUAAUAACCUUGGCGAUUGACGUUACCCGCAGAAGAAGCACCGGCUAACUCCGUGCCAGCAGCCGCGGUAAUACGGAGGGGUGCAAGCGUUAAUCGGAAUUACUGGGCGUAAAGCGCACGCAGGCGGUCUGUCAAGUCGGAUGUGAAAUCCCCGGGCUCAACCUGGGAACUGCAUUCGAAACUGGCAGGCUAGAGUCUUGUAGAGGGGGGUAGAAUUCCAGGUGUAGCGGUGAAAUGCGUAGAGAUCUGGAGGAAUACCGGUGGCGAAGGCGGCCCCCUGGACAAAGACUGACGCUCAGGUGCGAAAGCGUGGGGAGCAAACAUGGAUUAAGAAUACCUGGUAGUCCACGCCGUAAACGAUGUCGAAUUGGGAGGUUGUGGUCAUGAAGGCGGUGCACCGGGAGCCUACGCGUAAAUCGACGGCCUGGGGGAGAUUACGGGCCGCCAAGGAU
rnacentral:rRNA from 1 species